CAUGCAGUCGAACGAUUCUUUUCGGAGAAGAGUGGCGGACGGGUGAGUAACGCGUGAGAAUCUGCCUCCAGAACGGGGACAACAGUUGGAAACGACUGCUAAUACCCGAUGAACCGAAAGGGAAAAGAUUUAUCGUCUGGAGAAGAGCUCGCGUCCGAUUAGCUAGUUGGUGUGGUAAAAGCGCACCAAGGCGGCGAUCGGUAGCUGGUUUGAGAGGACAAUCAGCCACACUGGGACUGAGACACGGCCCAGACUCCUACGGGAGGCAGCAGUGGGGAAUUUUCCGCAAUGGGCGAAAGCCUGACGGAGCAAGACCGCGUGAGGGAGGAAGGCCUUUGGGUUGUAAACCUCUUUUCUCAGGGAAGAAGAUCUGACGGUACCUGAGGAAUAAGCCUCGGCUAACUCCGUGCCAGCAGCCGCGGUAAUACGGAGGAGGCAAGCGUUAUCCGGAAUUAUUGGGCGUAAAGCGUCCGCAGGUGGCAAUUCAAGUCUGCUGUCAAAGACCGGGGCUUAACUCUGGGAAGGCAGUGGAAACUGAAAAGCUAGAGUGCGGUAGGGGUAGAGGGAAUUCCCGGUGUAGCGGUGAAAUGCGUAGAGAUCGGGAAGAACACCAGCAGCGAAAGCGCUCUACUGGGCCGCAACUGACGCUAAGGGACGAAAGCUAGGGGAGCGAAUGGGAUUAGAUACCCCAGUAGUCCUAGCCGUAAACGAUGGAUACUAGGUGUCGACUGUAUCGACCCGGUCGGCGCCGUAGCUAACGCGUUAAGUAUCCCGCCUGGGGAGUACGCACGCAAGUGUGAAACUCAAAGGAAUUGACGGGGGCCCGCACAAGCGGUGGAGUAUGU
rnacentral:rRNA from 1 species